CCUACGGGUGGCUGCAGUGGGGAAUAUUGGGCAAUGGGCGCAAGCCUGACCCAGCAACGCCGCGUGAAGGAAGAAGGCCCUCGGGUUGGUAACCUUCUUUGUCAGGGACGAAACAAAUGACGGUACCUGCCGAAUAAGCCACCGAGAAGAAAGUGCAUGCAGUAGCGGCAAGACGGAGGCGGCAAGCGUUAUCCGGAUUUACUGGGUGUAAGGGGCGUGUAGUCGGGAGAGCAAGUCAGAUGUGAAAUUCCAGGGCUCAACCCUGGAACUGUAUUUGAAACUGGUUUUCUUGAGUGAUGGAGAGGCAGGCGGAAUUCCGGGUGUAGCGGUGAAAUGCGUAGAUAUACGGAGGAACACCAGUGGCGAAGGCAGCCUGCUGGACCUUAACUGACGCUGAGGCGCGAAAGCGUGGGGAGCGAACAGGAUUAGAUACCCGAGUAGUC
rnacentral:rRNA from 1 species